GGCGAGUGAAGCGGCAACAGCUCAAAUUUGAAAUCUGGCGUCUUUGGCGUCCGAGUUGUAAUUUGCAGAGGGCGCUUUGGCAUUGGCAGCGGUCCAAGUUCCUUGGAACAGGACGUCACAGAGGGUGAGAAUCCCGUACGUGGUCGCUAGCCUUUACCGUGUAAAGCCCCUUCGACGAGUCGAGUUGUUUGGGAAUGCAGCUCUAAAUGGGAGGUAAAUUUCUUCUAAAGCUAAAUACUGGCCAGAGACCGAUAGCGCACAAGUAGAGUGAUCGAAAGAUGAAAAGCACUUUGGAAAGAGAGUUAAAAAGCACGUGAAAUUGUUGAAAGGGAAGCGCUUGCAGCCAGACUUGCCUGUAGUUGCUCAUCCGGGUUUUUACCCGGUGCACUCUUCUGCGGGCAGGCCAGCAUCAGUUUGGGCGGUUGGAUAAAGGUCUCUGUCAUGUACCUCUCUUCGGGGAGAACUUAUAGGGGAGACGACAUGCAACCAGCCUGGACUGAGGUCCGCGCAUCUGCUAGGAUGCUGGCGUAAUGGCUGUAAGCGGCCCGUCUUGAAACACGGACCAAGGAGUCUAACAUCUAUGCGAGUGUUUGGGUGUCAAGCCCGAACGCGUAAUGAAAGUGAACGGAGGUGGGAACCCCUCGGGGUGCACCAUCGACCGAUCCUGAUGUCUUCGGAUGGAUUUGAGUAAGAGCAUAGCUGUUGGGACCCGAAAGAUGGUGAACUAUGCUUGAAUAGGGUGAAGCCAGAGGAAACUCUGGUGGAGGCUCGCAGCGGUUCUGACGUGCAAAUCGAUCGUCAAAUUUGGGCAU
rnacentral:rRNA from 1 species